UGAACAUCUUUUUUGCUUGCUGUUCUUUGUUUCUUUUUCUGUGAUGGGAAGAGGCGAUGAAGCUUCUUGAUUUUGCUAUUGUUUUGAUAAUAGAUUAUUGAUGUCUCUAAUGAUGAUAAAAAAACUUUCGUUCUUCUGACAAUUUACAACCAUGUGGAAGUAUUUUAUGGAGACCUGAACUGAAGGGACAUCUUCUUCUUCUUCUUCUUCUUUUGUAUUUCACACGUAUUGAUAUUCUUAAAACCAGCAUUCGAUAAUGUUUUUGUUGCCUCUAAUGAUGAUGCUUAUUAUACUUUCGUUGUUCCGAGACUUUCCGUGCGGAAAUAUUUUUGGAGACCUGAACUGAAGAGGCUUAAUUCUGAUUGUUGUCUUGAAACUAUUUUGAAUUCAAAAUGUUUCUGAUUUUAUCCUGGAUCGUAGAAGUUUCCGUUUGAAUUUGCCUCUGUAUAGACUUUAAUCUUGCUUCAAGCAGAGAUUUUGAUGUUUUAUACGUGAUUAGAAACUCUGAUCUGUAAUUUUUUUCAUCAAAUUAUCAUUUUUUGAUCAGGUUCACAUCACCGAGGUUUAUGUUGUUGACAUUCCGUGUUCUGUAUCUUUUUUAUUAGUAUCAUAUAUUAUAUUACUGCUCCUUGGUAGUACUCUUUUCUUUCCAUUUAUUCCCGAUCAAAAUCUUGUCAUAAGGGACUUUAGGUUCUGUUUUCCCCCCCAUUGAACACGUGAACCCAACCCUGCUUGCCAGAAGAUGGAUUUCUUACAGCUGCCUCAUUCAAGUUGGUAUGUUUUUCAUGUCCUUGUUGAGGGUUUUAAGUGUUCAGUUUGUUAUUGUUUUCGACAAUGAAGAUCUUUAUAAUAUCUCUAAUGAUGUGCAUGUUAAAACGUUCGUUCUCCUGAGCAAACUAAUGCUGAAAAAUUGCGGAGACCUGAGCUGGAGAGUUGUAAAAACGAUCUUCGAUGUCCAUUUUGUUUAGUUUAUAACUUUGUUUGUUCAUAUUUUGUGCAUCGGUGAGAGACAUGGAGGUUGUCUUUCAAAAGUCAAAAUGUAAAACAGAAACAUAUAAUAAGAUGUGACUUUAUUUUCCAGUGUAGUAACAUACAACUUGUGUUGAAUCACUUUUAUUUGAUGGCUUUUUUGCAUGAUGGAAUUGCACCAUUUGGUACUGGAUAAGAGUGCAUUCAGUAUCAUUUGCUAUAUAAACAGUCUCUAGAAUUUUGCCAUUGGUGGUUUCGCUUCUACUUCCAUGGGGAAGUGAUAAACCCUACUGUCCCGACAAUGCUACUCAAACAUUUAUGAUAUGAACAUUUCCUUUAACUGUGAAUGUUCAAUAUUAUGAUUUUUUUUCUGGAUGUAGUUGAUCUAUUUCACUUUUAUUGUUAAUCUGUCUCGGCUCUAUAUUAGACUUGGGCUGAAAGGUGGCCAUUGAAGAGGUUGAUUAAAGUGUCCCACCUUUGUUCAAGAUGAGCCAGCCAAUGGAGGAAGAUGCACCAAUGUGUUGACAAGUUGAACAGCUGCUCCUCUAUCGUAUCAUGGUCAUGAGCAGCAUCAACAAAAGGCCAAAUUCACUUUUCAAAUCCCGACAAACCUUGAAGGUCCAGUCCCAGAGCAUGAUGAUCUGCAAAAUUGCACCCCUGAUUUAUAUUAUCCAGAAUCACAAGAUACCGUAACCUUGUUACUAGCAUAAUUUUUACGUUCUGGUCUCUCUUUUUCUAGGUGAUGAAAGAAAAAUGCUUGGUUUCCUUUUACUUGAGUUGAUUCUAUACUAUCUUAAAAUUAGCUGUUGUACCACACAAAACCAAAAUUACUGAAACGAAGGUCUAUAAUUACAUGUAUACUGGUUUAAGCUAGGAUUGGAGAAGCCAGGUCCAAGAAGAGCACUACAGAUAGUGCACUAACUAUCGUAGAAGUUUCCCUCAUUCCAUGCAUGUUCAUUCCAAGAGCUCAAGAUGCUGUGGUUGCUAAUCUUCGGCUAUGCCAAGGGUUACUUCACUGGUAAUAAACCCUUUAGUAGUGCUUUGCGAACUGCCGCCCUUAUCGAUGUCAUUGCUUCUGCUGCAGCAUUUGGUAUGGCUAAGGCUGUCCACCCAUAAUUCUCCUAGUUCCUAUCAUGUAAUCCCAACAAUUCAAAUAAUUGCACCAGUUUUUUCCCCUGCCUAA